UACGUAGGGUGCGAGCGUUGUCCGGAUUUAUUGGGCGUAAAGAGCUCGUAGGCGGUUUGUCGCGUCUGCUGUGAAAACGCGAGGCUUAACCUCGCGCCUGCAGUGGGUACGGGCAGACUAGAGUGCGGUAGGGGAGACUGGAAUUUCUGGUGUAGCGGUGGAAUGCGCAGAUAUCAGGAGGAACACCGGUGGCGAAGGCGGGUCUCUGGGCCGUUACUGACGCUGAGGAGCGAAAGCAUGGGGAGCGAACAGG
rnacentral:rRNA from 1 species